rnacentral:rRNA from 1 species
GACAGAGGAUGCAAGCGUUAUCCGGAAUGAUUGGGCGUAAAGCGUCCGCAGGUGGCUGUGUAAGUCUGCUGUUAAAGAGUGAGGCUCAACCUCAUAAAGGCAGUGGAAACUACAUGGCUAGAGUGCGUUCGGGGCAGAGGGAAUUCCUGGUGUAGCGGUGAAAUGCGUAGAGAUGGGGGAGAACACUCGUGGCGAAGGCGGCCAGCUAGACCAGUUCUGACACUGAGGCGCGACAGCGUGGGGAGCGAACAGG